UCGCAAAUUACCCACUCUCAAUUCGAGGAGGUAGUGACAACAACUAACGAGACUAUCCUCUAUGAGACUAGUCAUCGAAAUGGGUACAACGUAAACCCUUUAACGAGGAUCUAUGAGAGGGCAAGUCUGGUGCCAGCAGCCGCGGUAAUUCCAGCUCUCAAAGUGCAUAGAAUUAUUGCUGCGGUUAAAAAGCUCGUAGUUGGAUCUGUGCCAUAGGACGGGGUCCGGCUUCGGUCGUGUACUCCGCUCCUAGGCUUUUUGCUGGUUUUCCCGUCGUAGCCUUCACUGGUUGCGGCGGGUGGCUGGCGAGUUUACUUUGAGAAAAUCAGAGUGCUCAAUACAGGCGUAUCGCUUGAAUGAUUGUGCAUGGAAUAAUAGAAAAGGAUUUCGGUCCUCUUUUAUUGGUUUUGUGGACUGAGAUAAUGGUUAACAGGGACAAACGGGGGCAUUCGUAUCGCUGCGUGAGAGGUGAAAUUCUUGGACCGCAGCGAGACGCCCUACUGCGAAAGCAUUUGCCAAGAAUGUCUUCAUUAAUCAAGAACGAAAGUCAGAGGUUCGAAGGCGAUCAGAUACCGCCCUAGUUCUGACCGUAAACGAUGCCAACUAGCGAUCCGCCGGUGGAUUUUUAGCCCUGGUGGGUAGCUUCCCGGAAACGAAAGUCUUCCGGUUCCGGGGGAAGUAUGGUUGCAAAGCUGAAACUUAAAGGAAUUGACGGAAGGGCACCACCAGGAGUGGAGCCUGCGGCUUAAUUUGACUA
rnacentral:rRNA from 1 species